rnacentral:lncRNA from 1 species
UAUAUAUUUAAACAGAAAUUUAAAAUGGCAAAUGAGCUGGGUUCAGUGCCACACGCCUGUAAUUUAAUUCCAGCAACUCAGGAGGCUGAGGCAGGAGGAUCAUGAGUUCAAAGCCAGCCUUAGCAACUUAACUAGGCCCUAAGCAACUCAGCAAGACCCUGUGUCUAAAAAAAAGUAUAUAUAUAGAUAGAUAGAUAGAGAGGGAGAGAGAGAGAGAGAGUGAGUUGGGGGAUGUGACUCAAUGGUUAAGCACCCCUGAGUUCAAUCUUUGGUACCAAAAAUAAAGGCAAAUUAUCUGAAUAGACGUAUCUCAAAAGAAGACACACAAAGUGCCAAAGAGUAUAUGAAAAUUUUUUUUCAAUAUCACUAGUCAUUAGGGAAAUAGAAAUCAAACUGGCUAUCACUAAUCACCACACCUGUAAUUCCAGCUCCUCAGGAAGCUGAAGCAAGAGGAUUGUACACACAAGAUCAGCCUGGGCAACUUAGAGAGACUCUGUCUCGAAAAAAAACCUUGGGGGCUGAGGUUAUGGGGUCAAUGGUAG